rnacentral:rRNA from 1 species
GAACGCUUUGCGGGAUUUCGGUCGCGCAAGGAGUGGCGCACGGGUGAGUAGCGCGUGGGAACCUGCCCUGUUGUGGGGGAUAACCGAGGGAAACUUCGGCUAAUACCGCAUGAGCCCCCGGAUCAAAAGUCCGGGGGGAAAGAUUGAUCGCGACAGGAGGGGCCCGCGUCGGAUUAGGUAGUUGGUGGGGUAACGGCCUACCAAGCCUUUGAUCCGUAGCUGGUCUGAGGGGAUGAUCAGCCACACUGGGACUGAGACACGGCCCAGACUCCUACGGGAGGCAGCAGUGGGGAAUAUUGGACAAUGGGGGCAACCCUGAUCCAGCAAUGCCGCGUGAGUGAUGAAGGCCUUCGGGUAGUAAAGCUCUUUCGCCCGCGACGAUGAUGACGGUAGCGGGAGAAGAAGCCCCGGCUAACUUCGUGCCAGCAGCCGCGGUAAUACGAAGGGGGCGAGCGUUGUUCGGAUUUACUGGGCGUAUAGGGCGCGUAGGUGGCGCUCCAAGUCAGGCGUGAAAGCCCCGGGCUCAACCUGGGAACGGCGCUUGGGACUGGGGUGCUGGAGUUCGGGAGAGGAGCGUGGAAUUCCCAGUGUAGAGGUGAAAUUCGUAGAUAUUGGGAAGAACACCGGUGGCGAAGGCGGCGCUCUGGACCGAGACUGACGCUGAGGCGCGAAAGCGUGGGGA